UCACCUAACAAUCAAGGAGAGCACCUACUUUGCUUCAGCGCAGUAUAUUCAUGACAACAAUAGUAAUCAACAAAAAGCACACUGCCCUCAACAUAUACAAGUCUCAUGCAACUUAUUCCAGUACUGAUUUAGACAUAUAUUUUGGUUGCCUGUACAACAAAUCGAGUGGAGUUUUCCAAUUGCCAAAUCAACAUAGGACCUACAAAAAUAAAGGCCCAGGAGAAGCAAUAAUUAACAACCUUUAUCGAGAACAUAAAAAUGAGCCUCACCAAAGAACGCAAACCAAAGAAACCUCACUACAUUCCUCGACCUCCAGGAAAACCAUUCAAAUACAAGUGUUUCCAGUGUCCAUUUACAUGCAAUGAGAAAUCGCACCUGUUUAACCACAUGAAAUACAGCUUGUGUGAAAAUUCAAUCUCACUAGUUACAGACCAGGAUCAAACAGGAAAAUGCCCAAAGCCAAGUUCCAAUGAGACUAAUAUACUCAACCAGAAAGCUGGUGUGUCAAAUGGGUGCAAUGAUUCAAAGAUACCAAUUAGCAAACUCAAUAAAAUUUCAGAAUGCACAAAUACUGUUUCAGGUAAAGAUACAAAUCUUCAGAUCACCAGUAAUAAUGAAAUGAAAGAAAACGUAGGAAUGAAUAAUCAAACUUUUGCUCCGGUUACAAAGACAAAACAACAGAAGGAACCACAUCACACGAUUCCUGCAACAAAUGAAUCUGAAAAACUCAGAGCUAUCAAAAAGGAUGAAAGAUCCUCAGCUUUCUUGCCUGUUGGAGGACUGAAAUCCAACAAAAGACCAGAAAUAGACAAUGAAAACACAAAUUCUGUUUCAGAAAAUUCAAGCAACAGGGCAUCUCCCAUCCGAAUGAAGUCAGCAUUUUACAGCCCAGGUGUCAAAAGGAGAGCAUGUCCUUCUUCAAUUUCACCAGAGCUUUCCAAAACACACAAAAGCUUUGGUUCAAUUCCUCCCAACACAUCACCAUUGAUUCCAGAUUAUACACAUUAUUACACUGAACGAGGCUCAAGGGUAGUCUUUUCACCUUUUCUCCUCACUGGUAAGCCAGUUGAAUAUGACAGCCCAACAAUUCCACCGUAUGUUUCUCCCGAUCAACAGAAUUUUAUGCUGCCUAAUCUACAAAAUCCAAGCAUGACUUUGCCGAGACAUUUUGCUCCAUCAGCAUUAGAGCAGUACAAGAUUCUUCAUCAUUUGCAUUCAAAUCUUCCCAUUCCUUAUGGCGUCCAUCACCUCAACUCAACUGAAUACCAUAUGCCCCAGUUUGGUCUGAAGCUUCAACAAUCAAGUAACACCACCAGGGAUAAAAAUACACAUGUGUCAGUUGGCAACCCACUUUAUGAAACUUCACCACCACCAGAAUUAUAUCUCCAGGACUCUCACAGAAGGCUUUACAGAGAAUGGGAGAACUCGGCUCCGACAGCAUAUUCAAAAGAUAAUGACACUGCAGCAUUGAACAUAAACAGUGAUUCAUACACAGGAAGAACAAAUAUAAAAAUGAGCCCUAAAGCAGGAAGUGCAGCAAUGGGCUCUCCAGGUCGACCGAGCCCAACAACUUUUGCUCAAACAAGUAUGGUUUCAGAAAGUUUUGGUGAAUUUCCCAACAAGUUUCUUUCAAGCAUGAGCUUUAGAAGUAACAAAUUGGAAGAAAACCUAACGCAUUUCAAACCUGUCAAAAAUAUCACAAAUCCACACAUAAAUAAAUUCUACAUUCAACAUGGCCAGCCAGAAAGUCAGGAACCAGGCAGCAGGAUUCUGGUAGCCAAUGAGGGUUCAACAUCCAAUUCAACUUAUUCUAACGUCACAAUUUUGGAUUACUACCACGGCAAUUCUCAGGUACUUACGAAUAAAAGCUCCACCAGUAUGAUCCCAUUAAAUCUUUCCAAAAAGGAUAAAGCAAAAAUAGAGCAAGACAAGCUGUUUGGAGCCACAACUAAUCUUCCACAAGACUCAACUGGAAAAUCUUCAGAUGGCAAUUACUGCCAACCAGAUACAGAACAUCAAACUUCUAUCAAAGUACAGGAUGUGCCUUUAAACCUUUCAGUCAAAGUUAAACAUAAUCAUGGCUGGCCUACACCUGAAGAUUCUAUUCCACCACAAGUAGACAGCACUUCAAGGACGGAAGCAAAGUGCUUAAAUGACAAGAAGUCUCUUCAUUCUGACUUAAAAAGUAAUUCAGUGGAAGGCCUCAGUAAAAAAGAUGUUAUCAGCAACCAGCAAACAUUAAAACUUGUCAAAAGUGCACAAAGCUGUCAUGAUGAGCAGCAGCAGUCAGCUGCAGUGGCUCUUUGCCAGUUAGCUGGAUGUAACAGUGGAAAAUGUAAUGAGGAAUGGUCAUUUUUGCCAACUGGACAAUUCGCCAGUUUGGAGGAUCCCAGCUAUGAAGACAAACACAACUGUGAUUCUCCUACAACUGACAAAAUAGAAAAAGAACAGAAGCCAAGAUGUCAAAAAAGGUUACACGAGGAUUCAGUUAAAAUACAACCAGAGACAACACUUGUAAAGAAUAAUGAUCGUGGUAGAAUAUUCAAUUUGAGGAAAAGAACUAGAGUUGCAUAAGAUGGGUACAAUUCCAACUGAAAUCAAUUAGGCUAAGCAAAUUAUUAAACCAUGUAAGGUUGAUGACCAUUGUUUGCAUCAAGGUUUCAAAGCCAGGAUUAGUCACCAAGAUGCAUAAUACACCCAAGAACAAGGGUGUGUAUAAACUCUUCAUUGACUUUUUGUUAUUUAUAUAUGUCAUUAUACACACUAUAUUGGGUGUUGGUUGAAAGCAACAAGUUAUAGUGCAACCCUAACAGUUUCUGACUGAAUAAACUGAGCAGCCAAUCUCAGUUUAGAUUGCACUGUUGUCCAGAAAACUAAGAUUUUUUGGGAUAGUGGCUGAAAUAAAAUGGUGCAAGUUCAUCCUAAAGGGAACAACUAACAUUUUUAUUAGGAGCUCACUUUUCCUCCUUCAAAUUUAAUGAAUAUAUAACUAAAUAAUAGGAGUUUGAAUGUUACAAGCUGCAAAAAAAGCGCAGCUCGCAACCUAAUUCCACCUCUGACAAUGAUUGGCUCAGGUUUGCUUCAGACAACUACCUCAGGUGAAAUAAGCAAUAAAGAAUGUUAUCUUUCUUGUAAAAAGUUCAAUGCUUUAAGGCACAAUCUUUGGUCAAUGUGCUAAAAGCACCCAGAAGAACAUUUAGAUGACUUAUUUGAACCAUAUUAGCAGACUUUAAUAGAAAGUAGUGAAAUCAGACUGGUCAAAAUAAGCAUACAAGCCAAUAUUUGAAAUUUGCGGUAGUCCAAUCAACACCGGAUGCUAAAGAGCAAGUAUUUGAAAUAUCUUAAGUCCAGAGGGCUAUCUUUUUUUAAAUUAUACAGUAAUUCUGUUUUUGUUUUGGAUUUCCAGCAUCCACAGUGUUUUUUGUUUUUAACUUACUUGAAUAGUUUGAUUUACUACAGGACAUAGAGGUACAGUAGCAAAAUGGUUAUGCGCCUGGACUAGAAGUCCAGAGGCCUCAAUUAAUGAUCCAGAUACAUGAAUUAAAGUCCCCAUAUAGCAGCUGAAGAAUUUAAAUUCAAUUAAUUAUUUAAAAAUAUGGAAUAAAUACUAGUGUCAGUAAUGGUGAAACCACUAGAUUGUUGUAACAGCCCAUCUAGUUCAUGAAUAUCGUUACCCGGUCUGGCCUAUGCGUGACUCCAGUUUCACACUAAUGUGGUUGAUUCCUAACUGCCCUCUGAAAUGGCUGAGCAAGCCACUCAGCUAUAUUCAAAGCAGCAGCUCACCAAUACCUUCUCAUGGGCAAUUAGGGAUGGGUAAUAAAUGCUGGUCUUACCACAGUCUUAUGAAUGACCAAAAAAAACAAAUUAAGUGGAGCCUUCUGGAUCAAGUGUAUAAAAAAUGUGGGUUACCAAUGAAAUAGCAGUAAUAAUAAUAAUAAUAGGAAGAAAAAAAUUAAAUUUAUUAUGCAAAUUAAACCACCUCAAGUCUGGCAUUCAAUUGCUUAACUAACAAUUGAAAUGAUCACAUAUUUCGUUAAAAUCCAAAUUGACCCAGCUCUAACAAACUAUCCAUUAAGUUUUGUUUAAUUGUAUUUACCUGACCCAGACUAAAGGACAGGUACAAAAAUGCAUAUGUACAUAAUUAUUUUGCAGCUUAUAAAUUGCUUAGAAUAUUGUGAUGGUCAUUCAAACAAUGUGCUUUAAUUCUGCUUUUAUUAGGCUCACCUGAAGUACUAGGGAAAGCAAGUCAUGAGGGUUACUACAAUACAGAAAAAAUGUUAUUGUGGACAUGAAUUGAUUUUAUGGGGAAACUGCUGGUGAUGGAAACACUUAGUAUGACGCUUAACCAUUUAUUAUGUUAUAAAAUAUAUUUUUUUGCUACAGGAUUAAAGAUAAUUUAUCAUGCAAAAA